GUCCUCCUAUCUGUUUCUGCGGGUGUGGUAUGGCGAGUGCCCCCUACCCCUGGUUAUGACAGCCCAUCGAGCGACUAUCUAGUAUAUAAUGUGCUCUACCCAUUUAUCUGCUGUUACGUGUUGGAGGAGAAAUAUCACGUGGUGGAGUGUGGCUUAACUAGUGAGUGGUCUACGAGUUCCAGGGAGGGGCCGUGUAUGAAGCUAUUGAUGUGUCUUAUUCCCUGGGUGUCGUGUGG